UGGCUCUUGUAACAACGAAGAAUGCAGAAAACUUCGAAAAGCACUGCAAAUUGCAAAACACCAUGAGUCAGUAGAUCUUUGAACACAAUCAACGCCCUUUGGACAUGUUCACUUCAGUAUCU